GUGCCAGCCGCCGCGGUAAUACGUAGGGGGCGAGCGUUAUCCGGAAUUAUUGGGCGUAAAGCGUGCGUAGGCGGUUUUAUAAGUCACUUGUAAAAGAUCUCAGCCCAACUGAGUAAGGCGAGUGAAACUGUAAGACUUGAAUACGGUAGAGGUAAGUGGAAUUCCAUGUGUAGCGGUGGAAUGCGUAGAUAUAUGGAGGAACACCAAUGGCGAAGGCAACUUACUGGGCCGGAAUUGACGCUGAGGCACGAAAGCGUGGGGAGCAAACAGGAUUAGAAACCCGGGUAGUCC
rnacentral:rRNA from 1 species